rnacentral:rRNA from 1 species
UAUAUGGAGAGUUUGAUCCUGGCUCAGGACGAACGCUGGCGGCGUGCCUAAUACAUGCAAGUCGAGCGGACGGAUGGGAGCUUGCUCCCUGAAGUCAGCGGCGGACGGGUGAGUAACACGUGGGCAACCUGCCUGUAAGACUGGGAUAACUUCGGGAAACCGGAGCUAAUACCGGAUAAUUCUUUCCCUCACAUGAGGGAAAGCUGAAAGAUGGUUUCGGCUAUCACUGAC